rnacentral:misc_RNA from 1 species
GUGAAUCAUCAAAUCUUUGAACGCACAUUGCACUCCCUGGUAUUCCGGAGAGCAUGCCCAUUUGAGGGUCAAUUGGAAUAAUAUCAAUCUCAAGAUUCUCCGGAAUUUAAAAUGGGUUGUCCAUUUUUUGUGGUCGCUUAAAAUACAAGACAAGCUCAUUUUCUUGGGUUGCGUGAUAUUUUCAGUUAUUU